AUACGGAGGGUGCGAGCGUUGUUCGGAAUUAUUGGGCUAAAGGGGCGCGUGUAGGCGGUUUGUUAAGUCUGAUGUGAAAGCCCCGGGCUCAACCUGGGAAGUGCAUUGGAUACUGGCAGACUUGAAUACGGGAGAGGGCAGUGGAAUUCCUGGUGUAGGAGUGAAAUCCGUAGAUAUCAGGAGGAACACCGGUGGCGAAGGCGGCUGCCUGGACCGAUAUUGACGCUGAGACGCGAAAGCGUGGGUAGC
rnacentral:rRNA from 1 species